AUUGAACGCUGGCGGCAUGCUUUACACAUGCAAGUCGAACGGUAACAGGCCUUCGGGUGCUGACGAGUGGCGAACGGGUGAGUAAUGCAUCGGAACGUGCCCAAUCGUGGGGGAUAACGUAGCGAAAGUUACGCUAAUACCGCAUAAGCCCUGAGGGGGAAAGCAGGGGAUCGCAAGACCUUGCGCGAAUGGAGCGGCCGAUGUCAGAUUAGCUAGUUGGUGGGGUAAAGGCCUACCAAGGCGACGAUCUGUAGCGGGUCUGAGAGGAUGAUCCGCCACACUGGGACUGAGACACGGCCCAGACUCCUACGGGAGGCAGCAGUUGGGGAAUUUUGGACAAUGGGCGCAAGCCUGAUCCAGCCAUGCCGCGUGCGGGACGAAGGCC
rnacentral:rRNA from 1 species